rnacentral:rRNA from 1 species
GAUGAACGCUGACAGAAUGCUUAACACAUGCAAGUCGAUGGGGAAGUGGGGCUUGCACCAUGGUAACCAUGGCGGACGGUUGAGUAACGCGUAAGGAACUGGCCUGCGUGACUGGGAUAACAGCAGGAAACUGCUGAUAAUACCGGAUAAGGGCAUUAAGCUGCAUAGCUUAGUGAUGAAAGGAGACGCCUGCGGAGAGCCUUGCGUCCUAUUAGCUAGUUGGAGGGGUAACGGCCCACCAAGGCGAAGAUAGGUAGCCGGCCUGAGAGGGUGGACGGCCACAAGGGGACUAAGAUACGGCCCUUACUCCUACGGGAGGCAGCAGUGGGGAAUAUUAGACGAUGAGGGCAACAAUGAUCCAGCAAUUCUGUGUCGACGAAGACGGUUUUCGGAUUGUAAAGUGCUUUCAGCAGGGAAGAAGGAAGUGACGGUACCUGCAGAAGAAGCGACGGCUAAAUACGUG